rnacentral:rRNA from 1 species
UACGUAGGGUGCGAGCGUUAAUCGGAAUUACUGGGCGUAAAGCGUGCGCAGGCGGUUAUGCAAGACAGAUGUGAAAUCCCCGGGCUUAACCUGGGAACCGCAUUUGUGACUGCAUAGCUGGAGUACGGCAGAGGGGGAUGGAAUUCCGCGUGUAGCAGUGAAAUGCGUAGAUAUGCGGAGGAACACCGAUGGCGAAGGCAGUCCCCUGGGCCUGUACUGACGCUCAUGCACGAAAGCGUGGGGGGCAAACAGG